UCUACUAUAUCUGUACCACUGUGCACCUAUUACAACUACGUUUAGUGACAUCCUGUUGAUGGCUCGAAAUCAGCCAUGGUGGGAGUAUUUGCUCCACCAAAAUGGACAAAACCACACUCCCUCCCUGUACCCCCAGCCAGUUGCGAACAUCUUCCUGCCCAGCACUGUAUGUAAACAUUGAAUAGGAAGAGUAAUACUAUCACUAGUCACUGAAGGGUAACUCAGGGUUAGGAAGCCAGGGAGGUAAACAUUUUAAGUUGGCUUUGAAGCAAACUUAUUUUUAGUGGGCCAGGACCACCCUUGGGGACAUUUAGAACGAGGACACAUCACAGAAUGCCCACAUGUCCCUUAACGCUUCCAUACAGGUGAAAUCAGGUUAACAUGAAUAUUAAAAGCCUCUGUGAAGGUGGAACAAAGUAAAUUUAAAAAGUAACAGGAAGCCUAAGGGCAUGCGUAUGGGUGUGUGAGUGUGAGGUACAUAGAACAAUCUUGCUCACUGUGGCUGAGAGGUCAUAAGGCAGUUGAGUAACUAGGGUGAUGGCCUGUGAGGAGCUAAAGGCCUUUCCGCGCUGAAGGCCCAGGGACAAGGUGUUCCUUUGAUCUUGCUGUAUAACUGUAAGAGAAAAAAGAAAUUGAAAUUUUAAAAAUGGGAAAGGUAGGUUAAUAGAGAGGGUGUAUCUAGGUGGUUCCCAGAAGUGGAGGAGGGACAGUCUUUGAACUAGCACGUAGAUCAUUGAACUCUUCUACCCCCAAUCUUUGAAGACCUCUUAAAAGCCUCCUGGGAGAGAACGGGGACAGUUACAGACUUUUAACCAAAGGAAUUUUUUCUUGAUGUUAAAAAAGAAAAAAAAAAAAAGCUUAAGAAAAAUAAACAGAGAGCAACAAUGGCAGAAAUAAGGUGACAAUGGCAAGCAUUAAGGAGUUUGGGAAAGGAAAAAAAAAAAGAGAAAAGCUUAAACUUUUAAUAAGUGGCCAAAGUGCAAAGUGUAGGCCAGUGUGAGGCAUAGCCCUGAGAGGACCGUCAUGGAUCAUAAGAAGGGGGAGACAGAGGGAGAGGAGGACUCCUAGUACACAGACAAGAUCCAUUUGCCACUUGGGGCAGGAGCCGAUGUCAAGCGAGGAGAGGCUGUCGAUUGCAUGAGAUCCUCAUCUGAAGGAUACAGAUACCAUAUUUCAUCGAUGCUGAAGUACCCAUUUUCUUACAAUUCAACAACUUUGAGAUCAGGAUGCAUCAUACAGUGGAUGGUAUCAAAGUCACUAUUGGUCAGUGACAGACAUGAUGAUGGUUGUGGUGGAACAUGUGGAAACUUGGCAUAGAUAUUCAUAUCAUGGCCCUGCGUUGCUUAACAAAUACAUAUUUGUAUCAAAUAAACGUAACAUAACAGAAGAUGAAGCUCUCUAAUAAGUAAACAUGGCGUUGAGCUUUGUUGGUGUUUUUUUUUUCCCUCCAUGACUCGUUAAAUAAUGGGAUGUCUUAUGAUCAGUGGUACCUUAUAUUCAGUGAAGGACCAGUUAAUUCAUCCAAAUUAACUGUUUGUAAAUUUGGGUUCCAUUUACACACAGUUCAGUCUUUUCACUGAGCACUUCUGUUGAACAUGAAAUGUGUGAGUUAGAUUGAUCAAAAUGAUCACCCAGAAGUCACUAUUCUGUGUUCUUAAUUGGCCAGCCAUUUACUAAAUUCGGUUGUUCAUUUACCAUGAUGCGUGUCCAAACAGGGACUGUUUUGGCUUGGUACUAUUGGAUCCUGAAGGUUAUAAUUACAUGUAGAUAGGUGAGUUUAAGGGCUUUUUUCUUAGCAUCAAAGAAUGAAGCCACCCUCUCAUCUGUCUUCUUCGUGGCAGUGAAUUGCUAGUCACUACAUCAGACCAGUGGCCUCCUCCAACAUAGGCGGCUGAGAGAAAUCACCUGCAUUUGGUACCCUCUCCGAAAUGGCUCGUCAAGCACAGCGAAUGAUAAGAUUGGAGAGAGGAGGUGGGAAACCUAUCCCUGGAUGGCACAGCUGAGACAGAGGUUUGCCUUAAAAAUGCACUCUACAAAUAAUCAGCAAAACUAAAAAGCAACCGACAGAACAAGAGAAGAUAUUUGCAAAUGACUUAUCAGAUAAAGGGUUAGUAUCCAAAAUCUAUAAAGAACUUAUCCAACUCAACACCCAAAAAACAAAUAAUCCAAUCAAGAAAUGGGCAAAAGACACGAAUAGACACUUCUCUAAAGAAGACAUCCAGAUGGCCAACCAACACAUGAAAAAAUGCUCAACAUCACUCGUGAUCAGGGAAAUACAAAUCAAAACCACAAUGAAAUACCACCUUACACCUAUCAGAAUGGCUAACAUUAACAACUCAGGCAACAACAGAUGUUGGCGAGGAUAUGGAGAAAGAGGAUCUCUUUUGCAUUGUUGGUGGCAAUGCAAGCUGGUGCAGCCACUCUGGAAAACAGUACAGAGGUUCCUCAAAAAACUAAAAAUAGAACUACCCUACAACUUAGCAAUUGCACUACUAGGCAUUUAUCCAUGGGACACAGGUGUGCUGUUUUGAAGGGACACAUGCACCCCCAUGUUUAUAGCAGCACUAUCAACAAUAGCCAAAGUAUGGAAAGAGCCUAAAUGUUCAUCGAUGGAUGAAUGGGUAAAGAAAAUGUGGUAUAUAUAUACAAUGGAGUGUUACUCAGCAGUCACAAAGAAUGAAAUCUUGCCACUUGCAACUAUGUGGAUGGAACUGGAGGGUAUUAUGCUAAGUGAAAUUAAUCAGUCAGAGAAAGACAAAAAUCCUAUGACUUCACUCAUAUGAGGACUUUAAGGGACAAAACAGAUGAACAUAAGGGAAGGGAAACAAAAAUAAUAUAAAAACAGGGAGGGGGACAAAACAGAAGAAACUCUGUGGAGUUGUAUGGAGAACAAACUGAGGGUUACUGGAGGGGUUAUGGGAGGGGGGAAUGGGCUAAAUGGGUAAGGGGCACUAAGGAAUCUACUCCUGAAAUCAUUGUUGCACUACAUGCUAACUAAUUUGGAUGUAAUUUAAAAAAAUAAAAAAUAAAACAAGUUAAAAAAAAUGACAGGCAGUUAUAACAAAUAGCUUUAUGUGACAUCAUGUUCUCAACAAAAAAAGUCCUUACAAUGAAAGCAAUUUUUAGUCUUUACCAUAAUCCACUAGCCUAAGACCCCAUAUUUGCCCAUAGCCGUAAUUCCCAGUAGGGGACUCUUGCUUCUAAAUUUAUGAACCAAAUAAAAUCAUUUUAAAUCAAUCCCCCCAAUUCCCUAUUCCUAACAAUAUCUGUAUUUUAAAAUGUGGGCCAUUACACUGAUCUAUGGUUUAAUGUUUUGUCAGACAGGAAAGUAGAGGGAUAAGAGAACAGAGGAACUGAGAGUAUCAGAAAGAAAGUGAAUAAAAUGGAGAUCUUACAUUCCUUAA